GGAAAUUAUCCUUUCGUCCCCAAAUUUGCCCUCGGCCAAUCUCCGGCUGCACAAAAGCCAAACCUUUCUCCCCUCAAAAAAAAAAAAGCCAAGCCUUUCAUGGCCGCCGCCGGCGGUGGCCAGCCGAGGAGAAACCAAGAAAGGUGGGGCGGCCCUACGCGGUGGAGGGAGGCAAGAAGAAGCGGUCGCUCGAACGGCACUCUCUGCCACCGCCGGACGGGUGGAGCGGCGGCUUGAUGCUGUCCUCGUGGUCGAUGAGCCCUGCCUGGAGCUCUGAGUACUAGUCCAUGCAGUUCGUGCUAUUAGCGUGAACAGUCAAGGACAAUUCACAAUUGGGCCUUUUGCGCCUGUCAGCUGCUGUUAGCUGACAGUUCUAUUUUGGGCAGCGGAUCACCAGCCUUGACAGUAUUUUGGGAUCACGAAUAAACACAAUAGCAUGGAGACAGAAUCUUCUCUUGUUGCAUCUUGCAUGUUACGGUGUCAAGACAGAAUUUCUGGAGAUCAACGGUUUUCGAAUAUCUUGGUGGGGGCUGGUCUUUCGUUUAAACUGAUGUUGUUUCCUUGGUCUUAUCAGAAAAUAUCAUAGUUUGCAGCUUAUAGUUGUCAGUUUGCAGAUGUAGGUGGUCACAACUUGCUGUCCCCUGUUGUAAGUUUAUGAGUAUCCCUUACUUUUGUUCUGUAUCAUGUAUUCAUGUUGCCUCCAAGUCAUCCACCACAGACCACACUACACCCUGUCCAGAAGGCCUCCUUGACCCCAAUAUCUUGAGCUGAUACGUGACAGCUAGCACACAGAAGGGAAGGCCAUGGAUGCGGUGGUGGAAGGCGCCAUGGGCUUCCUAAUUGGGAAGCUUGGUGAUUUGCUGACUGGCGAGUAUAAGCUACUCAAAGAAGAGAAGGAUGAUAUCAAGUUCCUCAAAGCUGAGCUUGACAGCAUACACGUGCUCCUGAAGAAGAUGGCAGAUGCGGAGGAGCCCGAUGAACAAACCAAAUGCUGGGUGGAUAAGGUGCGUGAGCUGUCCUAUGACAUUGAGGACAAGGUUGAUGAUUUUGUGCUUCAUUUUGAACAUAAGUCCAACGACAAUCCUCAACAUGGAUUUAGGGGAUUCAUUGAUAGGUGCCUGAAUUUGCUGAGUCGCUUUAGUUCAAAGAAAAUGUAUAAUCACAAGGAGACCAUAAAGGAAUUUCAAGGGCUCAAGAGACGUCUUGUGGGAAGUGAUCUUCACCUGCAGGCUCUCUAUGCGGAGGCAGCGGGCCUUGUUGGUAUCGCCGGGCCGAAGGAGGAGAUAAUUCAGGUGAUGAUGGAUGAAAAAGAUGUUUCUGCACAGCAACUGAAUUGUGGGAUUUGGAGGCCUGGGUAAGACUAGACUUGCAAAUCAGAUUUAUCGCCAGCUAGAGGUGCAGUUCGAGCAUCGAGCUUUUGUCUCCGUGUCUCAGAAACCAAACAUAAGGAAGAUUUUGAGAAAUAUACUCUCUCAACUUGGCUAUUCAGCCCAGAAGGAAACCAACAUGGAAAUAUGGGAUGAGGAGGAAUUGAUCAGGAAGCUCCAAGAGUUCCUCAAGAACAAGAGAUAUGUUGCUAGUCUGGUACAACCGAAUAUCUUCAUUGAUAUCCUGAUGGUCACGCUAGUGGCUAAGAGCGCAGAUGAGGCCAGAGGUUCAGACUCUCAUAUCUGACCGACGAGGCUGGGCUUCAUGAUUUAAAUGUCAUCUGAUAUCAAUUCUCAUACGGCUAUACAUGAGACAAAAUCAUUGUAACACAUGUUUGUAUGUAAACAAUCAUAUAGUGGAUUUGGCCUCCGGGCCAUCGUGGUUUUUUCCCGAUUUAGGGUUUCCACGUUAAAA